CUGGCCAGUACCCAUGCCAGUCCAUAGCAAUUCUACUGUUUUACCAACCUUUUUCUCUACCUCCUGUUUGCGUGAUGUUCCUUGUAUAGUGCCAACUGGAGAAAUGCCCCAACGGUAUGCCGCCACUAACGUUUCUCUGUUGCAUACCUUAUGUUUUACCAUUAAAGACUCUUCCCUGCCCUGUAUUUGGUUACGUAGAGCCACAUUAGCUAAUUGGUUGAAUCCUAUAAGUGACAGCACAAUGAACACCGGGAUCAUCCUGGCUGCUUUGAGUCAAAUUGCCCAGGGAGUCUCUUCACCCAGCGAGGACAUGUCAGUCGAUAGUUCUGCUGAUCUGAACAUUACAACACUAAUUGUGAUGCAUAAUUGUAGUGUUCCAUCAGGCCCAGGGCAAGGUAACUAUGCACAGAAUAGCUCUACCCGUCGUAGAGUCUUACCCGCUUGCCCCCCGCAUCAAGAGUUUCCACCUAAUUUUACCCCAUGUCAGAGUCCAUUCCAUAGAACAAAACAAUUCCUACCGGGAUUUGAAUUUUCCCCUCCUCUUGGCCAUGUACAGUAUGACUGGGGGGAGAAUAAGACUGGCAAGCAUAAUCUCUGGCCUUGGUUUCAGUGGGUGCUGUCCAAUGAGCAAGGGGCAUAUACAUCCCUGACCCCCUUUGCUAGGUUGAUGGGUGAGAACUUCACGUUGUAUAAUGUUUCGGCUACCAGAAAAAAUGAUACCAGGUUGACCAAUAUUCAAUAUAAUAACCUUUUGGAACAUAAUACUGCCACUAGUACUUCAGUAUGUGUUAGAUCACCCUUUUUCUUUCUGAUAAGCACUAAUGUCAACAAUGGUGUUUUAAAUUGUAAUAGCUCUGAUGUAGUCUGCUAUUUAGCUGAAUGCUGAGAUGGCAACAAUGACACCACAGUAAUGGUCAAGAUUCCCUCCUUUGUGCCAAUCCCAGUAGAGGCAAACCCAGAUAGUUUUCCUAUUCUUAAUUUGCUGUGAACCAAAAGAGAUUUUGGAAUUACGGCAGUCAUAAUUUCAG
ensembl:lncRNA